GAUGAACGCUGGCGGCGUGCCUAAUACAUGCAAGUCGAGCGAACAGACGAGGAGCUUGCUCCUCUGACGUUAGCGGCGGACGGGUGAGUAACACGUGGAUAACCUACCUAUAAGACUGGGAUAACUUCGGGAAACCGGAGCUAAUACCGGAUAAUAUAUUGAACCGCAUGGUUCAAUAGUGAAAGACGGUUUUGCUGUCACUUAUAGAUGGAUCCGCGCCGCAUUAGCCAGUUGGUAAGGUAACGGCUUACCAAGGCAACGAUGCGUAGCCGACCUGAGAGGGUGAUCGGCCACACUGGAACUGAGACACGGUCCAGACUCCUACGGGAGGCAGCAGUAGGGAAUCUUCCGCAAUGGGCGAAAGCCUGACGGAGCAACGCCGCGUGAGUGAUGAAGGUCUUCGGAUCGUAAAACUCUGUUAUUAGGGAAGAACAAAUGUGUAAGUAACUAUGCACGUCUUGACGGUACCCAAUCAGAAAGCCACGGCUAACUACGUG
rnacentral:rRNA from 1 species